rnacentral:lncRNA from 1 species
GAGCCAGGUGAAUGAUGCCCAGGGCUUCCCAGGCUUGGAGCUGUUGCCAGCUGUUGGGUUGCUGCUCUUGGAUCCCUGUACCUGCACCUGCCUGGUUGCUGCUGGGAGGAGAUGUGCCUUGCUCAGAGAGCAGGUGAUGGCAGCUCAAGGCAAAGUACAACAGCGUAGAACCAACAAAAAAUGAGCAGGUUGAGACCUAUGUUGUGCAGGCAGGAUGCAGGAGGAGGCCAUCUGUGGGAGCAGUGGGACACGUGUCAUCCCAGCAAGGCAGCAAGACAGAAUCUUCUUCCUGCAAAACCCAGCAAACACCAGCGUAGAGAAAGGAAACCUCAGUCUUGAAGCAGAAGAUAAGGAGCAGAAUGACCUUGCAUCUUCCAUCCAUACACCUGAGGUUAACAGUCGAGGAACCUGAGGCC